rnacentral:rRNA from 1 species
CGGAGGGUGCAAGCGUUAUCCGGAUUUACUGGGUUUAAAGGGUGCGUAGGUGGGUCUGUAAGUCAGUGGUGAAAUCUCCGAGCUUAACUCGGAAACUGCCAUUGAUACUAUAGGUCUUGAAUUAUCUGGAGGUGAGCGGAAUAUGUCAUGUAGCGGUGAAAUGCUUAGAUAUGACAUAGAACACCAAUUGCGAAGGCAGCUCACUACGGAUAUAUUGACACUGAGGCACGAAAGCGUGGGGAUCAAGCAGGAUUAGAUACCCUGGUAGUCCACGCCCUAAACGAUGGAUACUCGGCAUACGCGAUACACUGUGUGUGUCUGAGCGAAAGCAUUAAGUAUCCCACCUGGGAAGUACGACCGCAAGGUUG